AUGGAGGUUGCUGUGUGUCACCAUGGGUUUCUUCUGAAAGCCCUUAAUAUGUACAGGGGAGAGAUAUUUGCCUACCCUCUGUAUCUUCAGAAGGAGCUCAUGCCAGCCAAGGCAAAAUUAUUUGCGAUGGAUGGGGCUUGCAAAUAUUGGCCAUAUUUGGAGAAAGCUGCUAGAGUCCUUCCUGCUCUUCAGGAGCUCACCGAAAUGAAACCAUUCCUCAGUGUAAUGCAUGCUCGAGCCCAUGCUACAAAGUGUGAGAUUAAAUGGAAUGGUAGGAACCAGGAAGGAGCAGGAACAACAGCUGGUGAGGAGGUGGAGCAAGUGAACAGCUACCUCUCACGUUGUGCCCUGACGACCAAAUAUAUGUCUAAAGCAGCACGGGUGGACAUGCUUACCAUGCAUGCAAUGGGGUGGAACCACAAAAAAAGUCUCUCUCUACAUCAGGCACUUUCCACAAGAUAUGUGAAGACUUGUCAGAGACUCCAGGAUGAGACUGCAAGGCUAGCUGAACUAAAAACAGAUAAAUUGGUGUCACAGUGGCUCUCUGAUGUGAAGAAAUGGGCAGCUGAUGAGACACCAGAUACAUCUCAUGCCAGCACCACACACAGAGAACUUCAGCAGUCAACUGAGGGGCUUUAUCUUAGUGUGAGGCAGCGGAAGCAAACCCUCUACCGCCAGAAUGAUGGAAGCUACUCAAAGGACUGUGUUGAAGGAAAUGGACUCGCCCUAUAUUUGUGUAUUAUCAGUAUGCUGAUUGAUUAA
ensembl:lncRNA